GACGGGGGAUGCAAGUGUUAUCCGGAAUCACUGGGCGUAAAGCGUCUGCAGGUGGUUUCCUAAGUCCACUGUUAAACCUUGAGGCUCAACCUCAAAUCUGCAUUGGAAACUAGGAGACUUGAGUAUAGUAGGGGUAGAGGGAGUUUCCAGUGGAGCGGUGAAAUGCGUAGAUAUUGGAAAGAACACCGAUGGCGAAGGCACUCUACUGGGCUAUUACUGACACUCAGAGACGAAAGCUAGGGGAGCAAAUGGG
rnacentral:rRNA from 1 species